rnacentral:piRNA from 1 species
CCUAUCCAGAAAUCCAGUUCGUUGGAAAGGA